GUGUUGUGUUGUAAGGGCGCAUGGUGGAUGCCUUGGCAUAGUAGGCCGAUGAAGGACGUGAGAGGCUGCGAUAGGCCUCGGGGAGCUGCCAACUAAGCGUUGAUCCGAGGGUGUCCGAAUGGGGAAACCUGGCCGUCGUUGUGGGCGGUCGCCGUUAGAUGAAUUCAUAGUCUAAUUGGUGGUUACGCGGGGAAGUGAAACAUCUCAGUACCCGUAGGAGUAGAAAACAAUUGUGAUUCCGUUAGUAGUGGCGAACGAACGUGGAUGAGGCUAAACCGCGUGCGUGUGAUACCUGGCAGGGUUUGCGUGCGUGGGGUUGUGGGGAUGCAUUUGUGCAGGGUCUGCUAGUCCUGCGUUGUGUGGUGUGGGUGUAGCGGAAGUGGAUUGGAAUGUCCUGCCGUAGACGGUGAGAGUCCGGUACGUGAAACACUUGCAUCUGCAAUUGGUGUGUUGCCCGAGUAGCAGCGGGCUCGUGGAAUCUGCUGUGAAUCUGCCGGGACCAUCCGGUAAGCCUAAAUACCUGCUUAUGACCGAUAGCGGAUUAGUACCGUGAGGGAAUGGUGAAAAGUACCCCGGGAGGGGAGUGAAAUAGUACCUGAAACCAUGUGCUUACAAUCCGUCAGAGCC
rnacentral:rRNA from 1 species